rnacentral:rRNA from 1 species
UCUUAUGGCCAUACCACCCUGAACACGCCCGAUCUCAUCUGAUCUCAGAAGCUAAGGAGGGUCGGGCUUGGUUAGUACUUGCAUGGGAGACCACCUAGGAAUACCUGGUGCUGUAGGCG